rnacentral:rRNA from 2 species
CAGGUGGUCAGGUAGAGAAUACCAAGGCGCUUGAGAGAACUCGGGUGAAGGAACUAGGCAAAAUGGUGCCGUAACUUCGGGAGAAGGCACGCUGACAUGUAGGUGAAGUGAUUUACUCAUGGAGCUGAAGUCAGUCGAAGAUACCAGCUGGCUGCAACUGUUUAUUAAAAACACAGCACUGUGCAAACACGAAAGUGGACGUAUACGGUGUGACGCCUGCCCGGUGCCGGAAGGUUAAUUGAUGGGGUCAGCGCAAGCGAAGCUCCUGAUCGAAGCCCCGGUAAACGGCGGCCGUAACUAUAACGGUCCUAAGGUAGCGAAAUUCCUUGUCGGGUAAGUUCCGACCUGCACGAAUGGCGUAAUGAUGGCCAGGCUGUCUCCACCCGAGACUCAGUGAAAUUGAACUCGCUGUGAAGAUGCAGUGUACCCGCGGCAAGACGGAAAGACCCCGUGAACCUUUACUAUAGCUUGACACUGAACAUUGAGCCUUGAUGUGUAGGAUAGGUGGGAGGCUUUGAAGUGUGGACGCCAGUCUGCAUGGAGCCGACCUUGAAAUACCACCCUUUAAUGUUUGAUGUUCUAACGUGGACCCGUGAUCCGGGUUGCGGACAGUGUCUGGUGGGUAGUUUGACUGGGGCGGUCUCCUCCUAAAGAGUAACGGAGGAGCACGAAGGUUGGCUAAUCCUGGUCGGACAUCAGGAGGUUAGUGCAAUGGCAUAAGCCAGCUUGACUGCGAGCGUGACGGCGCGAGCAGGUGCGAAAGCAGGUCAUAGUGAUCCGGUGGUUCUGAAUGGAAGGGCCAUCGCUCAACGGAUAAAAGGUACUCCGGGGAUAACAGGCUGAUACCGCCCAAGAGUUCAUAUCGACGGCGGUGUUUGGCACCUCGAUGUCGGCUCAUCACAUCCUGGGGCUGAAGUAGGUCCCAAGGGUAUGGCUGUUCGCCAUUUAAAGUGGUACGCGAGCUGGGUUUAGAACGUCGUGAGACAGUUCGGUCCCUAUCUGCCGUGGGCGCUGGAGAACUGAGGGGGGCUGCUCCUAGUACGAGAGGACCGGAGUGGACGCAUCACUGGUGUUCGGGUUGUCAUGCCAAUGGCACUGCCCGGUAGCUAAAUGCGGAAGAGAUAAGUGCUGAAAGCAUCUAAGCACGAAACUUGCCCCGAGAUGAGUUCUCCCUGAGACUUAAAGUCUCCUGAAGGAACGUUGAAGACGACGACGUUGAUAGGCCGGGUGUGUAAGCGCAGCGAUGCGUUGAGCUAACCGGUACUAAUGAACCGUGAGGCUUAACCUUACA